rnacentral:rRNA from 1 species
AGUGAACGCUGGCGGUAGGCCUAACACAUGCAAGUCGAACGGCAGCACAGUAAGAGCUUGCUCUUACGGGUGGCGAGUGGCGGACGGGUGAGGAAUACAUCGGAAUCUACUUUUUCGUGGGGGAUAACGUAGGGAAACUUACGCUAAUACCGCAUACGACCUACGGGUGAAAGCAGGGGAUCUUCGGACCUUGCGCGAUUGAAUGAGCCGAUGUCGGAUUAGCUAGUUGGCGGGGUAAAGGCCCACCAAGGCGACGAUCCGUAGCUGGUCUGAGAGGAUGAUCAGCCACACUGGAACUGAGACACGGUCCAGACUCCUACGGGAGGCAGCAGCGGGGAAUAUUGGACAAAGGGCGCAAGCCUGAUCCAGCCAUACCGCGUGGGUGAAGAAGGCCUUCGGGUUGUAAAGCCCCUUUGUUGGGAAAGAAAAGCAGCAGGUUAAUACCCCGCUGUUCUGACGGUACCCAAAGAAUAAGCACCGGCUAACUUCGUG